GACGAACGCUGGCGGCGUGCCUAAUACAUGCAAGUCGAACGCUUCUUUCCUCCCGAGUGCUUGCACUCAAUUGGAAAGAGGAGUGGCGGACGGGUGAGUAACACGUGGGUAACCUACCCAUCAGAGGGGGAUAACACUUGGAAACAGGUGCUAAUACCGCAUACCGUUUAUUCCGCAUGGCAUAAGAGUGAAAGGCGCCUUUGGGUGGCGGUGAUGGGUGGACCCGCGGUGCAUUAGCUAGUUGGUGAGGUAACGGCUCACCAAGGCCACGAUGCAUAGCCGACCUGAGAGGGUGAUCGGCCACACUGGGACUGAGACACGGCCCAGACUCCUACGGGAGGCAGCAGUAGGGAAUCUUCGGCAAUGGACGAAAGUCUGACCGAGCAACGCCGCGUGAGUGAAGAAGGUUUUCGGAUCGUAAAACUCUGUUGUUAGAGAAGAACAAGGACGUUAGUAACUGAACGUCCCCUGACGGUAUCUAACCAGAAAGCCACGGCUAACUACGUG
rnacentral:rRNA from 1 species